rnacentral:rRNA from 1 species
UACGGGGGGAGCAAGCGUUGUUCGGAUUUACUGGGCGUAAAGGGCGCGUAGGCGGCCAGCACAAGUCAGUUGUGAAAUCUCCGGGCUUAACUCGGAAAGGUCAACUGAUACUGUGCGGCUAGAGUGCGGAAGGGGCAACUGGAAUUCUCGGUGUAGCGGUGAAAUGCGUAGAUAUCGGGAGGAACACCAAUUGCGAAGGCAGCUCGCUGGGACGUCACUGACGCUGAAGCACGAAGGCCAGGGGAGCAAACGGG